rnacentral:lncRNA from 1 species
CAGGUAUCCAAUAAUUCCAUUCAAUUCUAGCUCUACUAGGACUUCACAUCAAAUCUCACAAGUAAAAGGGCUUUUCCCCCAAGACUAUCCCGACUUCAGAUUCCAGUUGCAAGUCUGUGCCUCCAGUACUUUUGACCAACCAGCCAUAUGUCAGGUUCCCAGGACCCCUCGGUGGGCUCAAAAAACCACUAGAAUGGUGCACAGAACUCACUUGGUUUACCAGUUUGUCCUAAAGGAUACCACUCUGAUCAGCCAGACAGAAGAGACGCAUAAAACAAGGAAUGGGGAUAAGAAGAACAUAGAGCUUCCAUGCCCUUUUUAGGUAUGGCACCCUCCCAGAACCUCUGUAUGGCCAAGCAAGGUGGCGCACAGCUUCAAUCCCAGUGGCUCAGAAUUCUCAGGGGGAUGAAGAGUCUAAAAGCCAGCCUCAUGGAGGGUGAGGCACUCAGCAACUUGGUGAGACCCUGUCUCUAAAUAAAAAUGCAAUAAAGGGCUGGGGAUGUGGCUGCUGGAGUGCCCCUGAGUUCAAGUUCCAGUACAAAAAAAAAGAACCUCUAUAUGUUCAAUAGUAGGGAGAUUAUUAAACCUCAAGAAUGAGAUGGAUAUAUUGCUCAGAGGGAAUGCACCAUGUGCAAGGCCCAAGGUUCAAACCCAAGCACCACAAAAAACAGGAUCUCACAGAGUUCAAAUGUUUAUAGAACUGAGUCUCUAGACUCUCCCCUACCCCCUGAUGAACAGUAACAUCCAGAGGCUAAGAGUCUCACUCUAAAUCACCUCAUUAGCAUAUAAACUAGUUUAAGCCGGGGAGCUCACUGUGAAUAACAAGAGAUACUUUUUUUUUUUGGUACCAGGAAUUGAACUCAGGUGCACUUAACUACUGAGUCACAUCCUUAGCCCUUUUUAUUUCAAGAGAGGGUCUUGCUAAGUUGCUUGGGGCCUUGCUAAAUUGCUGAGGCUCCUUUCCAACUUGUGAUCCUCCUGCCUCAGCUUCCUCAACAGCUGGGGUUACAGCAUACACUGCCACUACCCCCAACUAACAAAAGAUACUCAUAUCACUCAGGAAGUUACUAGGGUUUUAAGAGCUCUGGGACAAAGAACAAAUAUGUUUCUUAUAACAACUAUGUAAGCCUGGACAGAUCAGUGGAGCCUCUUCAGGCUUCAAUACAUCUUUUAUAGAGAGAAUACUUACUUCUUAAGGUGACUGUAUUACCUAGAACCUCAAAGAAUAAAUAAAGUGGUAUCAGUUACUAACUUUAUGAAAAAGCCUAGCCUACUACUUCCUAAUAAGGAUUAACUUCCUUCUUAAUACUGCCCUUGUCUCUCAUAACACAAUAAUAUCGAAGACCAAAGCUACUAAGUUGGUCAGUUUUCCAACUGUAUCUCAAUCAGAGGAGAUACUUAAAAAGAGGAACUUAAAAAGAGGAAUGGGUUUUUGUGGUUUUUUGUUUGUUUUUUUUUUUACUCACAGAUUUGAAGGUUGCAUCCCUGGACAGAUGACCUGUCGAUGUGAAGAGGCAGCACAUCACAGCAUCUCAGGGGACAUCAAGUGGCAGAAACAGCUUAUUAUCAAUGAAUUAAAACAACAGAAUUGUCCUCACAUUUAGACUAUAAGAAGGAGGUAAUUAGAAUUAUGAAAGUUCAGUGCCAGAAAGCAAUUUGAGAAUAUUUAGACCAAACUCUCGGGUUCUCUAGAGAAACAGAACCAACAGGAGGUAUGAUUAUAAAAAGGGGAUUUAUUAGAUUGGCUUACACAACCGGAAGCUGGAUAGUCCACAAUGGCUGUUUGCAGGCGGGAGAGCUGGAGGAACCAGUAGCAGCGCAGUUCAAGAGACUGAAGCCUCAGAACAAGAGAGAUCAAUGAUGAUUCCCCAGUCCAAGUACGAAAGCUCUGGAAACUCCCUGGAGAAUCACUGGCAGAGUCCUAUUUGGAAGAUUGAAGGAGCUCCUCAGGUGAUCGCAGCAGCAAUCAAGAACCCCCACAACAAGAAAGGAGCUUGCAUCUGCUUCUGCUUCCCUGUUCUUCCAACUUCUAUUCCAUACAAGUCUCCAGCCUAUUGCAGGGUGCUGACCAUGCUUAGGGAGUAUCUCCAUUUCAGUUGGCUAUUCCACAUGCCAAUCAUUCCCAGACACAGCCCCCUGGCCACAUUCAGAAGCCUUUAAUCUUCUGCAUCUCUUAAUCCAAUCAAGUUGAGGAUUCAAAUUGACUAUUACUGUGUGUGUGUGUAUGUGUGUGUACACUCACACACAUGUAUACAUACACAUACAUACACACACAUACUGUAUUGGAAUAGCUUACCAAGAAAGAUGCUUUAAAAUAGGAGUCAUUAAUUCAAAAUAAUAAAGGUUUUUUGAGAGUCAACUUUCUCAUUGUUUCUCUCCAGGUGAAGUCUGUUAAAGUGGGUGAUCUACCAAAUCAGACUCUUUAGGACUAAAAGACUUUUCUUUUAGCUUUAUCUGCUCUUCCUCAAAAUGCCAGUAGGUGGGGCUUAUAGCCUAGCCAUAGUCUGUAUUCUUGAUGAAAGGAAUGUUGGCAACAAAUUCUCUCAAACCAGAAUAGUGCGCCUGUGCACGGUCCCUGGUGAAAUAACCUUCGCAUUUAAUCAGAUACACAGACCUGGCCUCAUUUAUGACCACAUUUAAACUAUCUAGUACUUCAUAAGGCUCAAUUAUUGACCCAGU